UGCCAGCCGCCGCGGUAAUACGGAGGGUGCAAGCGUUAAUCGGAAUUACUGGGCGUAAAGCGCACGUAGGCGGCCAUUUAAGUCAGAUGUGAAAUCCCCGGGCUCAACCUGGGAACGGCCUCUGAUACUGGGUGGCUAGAAUUUGAGAGAGGCAAGUGGAAUUUCCGGUGUAGCGGUGAAAUGCAUAGAGAUCGGAAGGAACAUCAGUGGCGAAGGCGACUUGCUGGCUCAAAAUUGACGCUGAGGUGCGACAGCGUGGGUAGCAAACAGGAUUAGAUA
rnacentral:rRNA from 1 species